AAAAGAUUUAGUUCUAGUCUUAACUUUCCUCCCCCUUAAGACGACACAUGCAAGGGAACUUCCCACAACGGUGAGUAUUUUUAAACAAAACUACAAGAAUUAGCCAAUCAAAGCAUCAGACACCUAGGACAACCCCCACAAUCCACGACGCUUAGGAAAAACCCACACCUGCAGUGCCAAACAUUUCACAAUAUGUGAAAACAUGAUGAAGCUAUAAGAACAAAGGGCCAGUUAAUUAUGUGCCAGCAACCGCGGUUAUACAUAAAACCCAAACGAAAGAACACAGCCAAAAAGUGGUAAACACUCUAUUCUCUCAAAUAAAGGUAAAAACGAACCCUAGCAGUAAUAAGCUAUUACGGCUCCCAACCAACAAAAACAAAAACACCUUUACCCCCCGUGACCCACAAAAGCUUGAAAAAAAACCGGGAUUAGAUACCCCGUUAUUCCAGCCGUAAAAUCUUUUACACGCUAGAAAACUACGAACAACAGUUUAAAAUUCAAAGAACUUGGCGGUUUUUCAAAACUACCUGGAGGAGCUUGCUCUUUAAUCCGAUAACCCACGAAAAACCUCACCAACCCUAGCAAAACCAGCCUGUAUACCAUCGUCGUCAGCCUACCCCGCGAGAGCAAAAGUAAACACAAAGAGUAAAACUCCAUUUUUACUCUUUACGUCAGAUCGAGGUGCAGCCCAUGAGUUGGAAACAAGUGAGCUACAAUAACAACAACAACCUAAAAAAGAUAUGAAAUCAACUAUGAAAAAACAGAAAAAAAAGGAUUCAGUAGUAAUAUUUAAAAGAAAAUAAAUAUGAAAAAUUACAAGCUCUGAAAUUCGCACACAUCGCCCGUCACUCUCCUUUCAAAAGGAGAAAAGUCGUAACAAAGUAGGUGUAUUGGAAAAUGCACCUGGAACAAU
rnacentral:ncRNA from 1 species